CCUAAUCCAAUCAUCUGUUGAUGACAUUUGGGUUGUUUCCAUGUCUUGGCUAUUGUGAAUAGUGCUGCAAUGAACAUGAGGGUGCAUGCGAGAACACAAACUCCAAAUCCCAAGACUGAAAUGAGCGCCUUUGCAAGAGCAUGGCUGUCCCCGGGGAAUUUGCAGCAGGAUUCUCAGGCUGAGCUCCGGGUGGACCGGGUUCUCCGUCAUCUUGUUUACUGUGUUCGUACAUCUUCUUACCCUGCAGCUGACUGUUGUCCUCCAGGCUCUGCGACUCCCAGCUCCUGCACAGCUGGAUAGACUGUCCACUGUACGGUGGGACAUCUCGGGGAGGGAGCUUGGAUCUGGAAACCCAGUGAAGGCCUCUGAAGCAGUACGGUUUCUGAAGGAGAGCACAGUUGCUCCACAGGCUUUUGGAAUCAUAAUAAGAUAGUCACUACCUAGAAAGAUGAAGAGGAAUCUAAGAUGUUUAUGAAUGACCUUGGGCAUCAGGGCAAGAGCGGUAAGGGAGAGGCAUCAGGGUUUGUGACCUAAAGGAGGACAAGCCAGAAUUCAUGAGGAAAAAAUGAAGAUUCCAGGAAGAAGGCUAUCCCAAGGACGAUGCUAAAGACAGAGGCCAGUGAAUGGUCACGAGGAGGCAGGGCCAGUUCCCCCACCUUCAGUGUAAGGUGUAAACCUGGUGACCUCAGAGCCGGCGUCCAGGGAACAGGGCCUCCAGCACCGCUGAGUGACCUCCCUGGUAUGUUGAUUGAUUUGUUUGUUUUCCUAGGUUUAGUGGUGAGGAAUGGAGGUUCUGGGAUCUGAAUCCUACUCAUCUUCCAAUUUCUCUUCUCUGGGGAAUUUGAAGGGCAGGGAUUACAGGGUUCUAUUUAGGAAAACACUCAGAACCAGCUUCACAUGACCAUGAACCCAGGCAGCCCUCAAUCUGCAGAUUAAUCUCAGCAACCACAAGGAACUGAGGCUGUGGUACUGCCCGCCUCCUGGAGCUCUCUCAGCCUCUCAGGACAGGAGAUCUGACUUUCCUCCUUCCUCUGUGAUUGGCCAACCCCUCGAUUCUCCUUUAUUAAUGAAGAGUUUGCUACCCAAAGAUCUACAGAAAUCAGUGAACACAUUCAGUGUGACAUAGAGCUGUGGACAUUUCUUCCUCGUCAGCAUUUCCAUGGCAGUGAAAAGAUCAAUGGAAAGUACUUAAUUAAUAGCUAUGCAUUGAAUACCCCCUAUGCACCAUAAGUGGUUUAGAAUCUAGGAAAGAAAAACAAGUAAGGGUCAUUCCAGCCUUUAAGAAGUUUAACAUCAGGGAGUUCCUGUCAUGGCACAGUGGUUAACAA